ensembl:lncRNA
UAGCAAGCACUUGAACAGAUUUUGAACUUUACUAGUGAAAGAGAUUGAAGUGAUUUCAAUGGGGCUUCACUCAGUACUGAGGAUGAAUGAUUGCUUUUAUGAAGAGCACUUCAAACUGUAAUUCUGCAGCGAGUUUAAUUAAAAAAAAACAUGCAUAAUUUUAACUGCUAGGGUUGUGUUCUUCUAUUGGACGAAUUAUUAAGGUUGUGAGCUUUAUUCUACAUUUUAGAAUUUAAAGCGGAGUCAGGUUAAUAUUAGAACUAUAUGGGGCUGUGUGCUGUUUUGGAAAUCAAACUACAUUUCAGAGUAGAUUUUUAUUUUUACAAAUCUCAACAAUGAAACAUAUACACUGUAUAUAAUGUUUUUGGCUCCAAGUGUGUAAGAAGCCUGGCUGAUUUUUCCUCUAAAUUGAUACAAGCAAAGCAUAGUAGUUACAUAUUUUGGAUAAGCAGCCAUGUAAGACUAGUGAUCUCAAAUAUUGGAGUGGACUUGUAAUAUCUUGAUAAUACAGAUAAUGAGUUUCGUAAUGACUGGUUUGUUCUUAUUGACGCUCCUUAAUUUGUAAUUGCCUCUUUAUAGAGUCUGCUCCCCAUCAUGUCUUUCUAGGACUGGUCUACCAAAUUUGGCGCCGAGUUACAACUCUAAGACAGCCAUUUUGCAGCCUACAUUUUCUUCUCUUUCUGCUUGUAUCAAAUUAAUCAGAUAUAAGUUAGAGAAAGCUUCCGACAUCUAAACAGAUGAAGAUCAAUUGAUAAAUCAACCCAGGAUUCACCAUACUUUCAAGUGGGAAGAGAAAGGUGUCUUCAAAAGGUGCUUUGGACCAGACUGGACUGAAUCAAACUCCAGGAUAUCCCCGGAUCUCCAGU